GCAGUCGACGGCGGCACGGGAGCAUCCUGGUGGCGAGUGGCGAACGGGUGAGUAAUACAUCGGAACGUGCCCUGUUGUGGGGGAUAACUAGUCGAAAGAUUAGCUAAUACCGCAUACGACCUGAGGGUGAAAGCGGGGGACCGAAAGGCCUCGCGCAAUAAGAGCGGCCGAUGUCUGAUUAGCUAGUUGGUGGGGUAAAAGCUCACCAAGGCGACGAUCAGUAGCUGGUCUGAGAGGACGAUCAGCCACACUGGGACUGAGACACGGCCCAGACUCCUACGGGAGGCAGCAGUGGGGAAUUUUGGACAAUGGGGGCAACCCUGAUCCAGCAAUGCCGCGUGUGUGAAGAAGGCCUUCGGGUUGUAAAGCACUUUUGUCCGGAAAGAAAUGGCCCUGGCUAAUACCCGGGGUCGAUGACGGUACCGGAAGAAUAAGCACCGGCUAACUACGUGCCAGCAGCCGCGGUAAUACGUAGGGUGCGAGCGUUAAUCGGAAUUACUGGGCGUAAAGCGUGCGCAGGCGGUUUUGUAAGACAGGCGUGAAAUCCCCGGGCUCAACCUGGGAAUUGCGCUUGUGACUGCAAGGCUAGAGUGCGUCACAGGGGGGUAGAAUUCCACGUGUAGCAGUGAAAUGCGUACAGAUGUGGAGGAAUACCGAUGGCGAAGGCAGCCCCCUGGGACGUGACUGACGCU
rnacentral:rRNA from 1 species